AAGUCGUAACAAGGUUUCCGUAGGUGAACCUGCGGAAGGAUCAUUACUGAAUUUAAUUCCGGGGUUGUAGCUGGCCAUUGUUUUGGCAUGUGCACACCUUGGUAUAAUCCAAAUUCAUUCACACCUCUGUGCACCAUUUCGUGGGAUUGAAGGACAAUGAAUGAAUUGCGCCUUAGCUCUUCUUUUCUUUGCCCAAAUUUCCCAUGUCUUCUUAUAUACUCUACAGUUUUAGAAUGUUAAUUGCGUUGAACGCAUUUAUAUACAA
rnacentral:misc_RNA from 1 species